rnacentral:snoRNA from 1 species
AUCCAAGGUGAUUCCCUUUCUGAGGGGCCAACUAUUGCCCCUCUCAAGAAAGUAGCAAAUUAGAAUUAAAUCUGGCAUGACUAAGGUCUUCGAAGAACAGAGGUUGCUUAUUUAUUUUGCCUUUCUUUGUUUGCCUACAUGU